rnacentral:rRNA from 1 species
UACGUAGGGUGCAAGCGUUAAUCGGAAUUACUGGGCGUAAAGCGUGCGCAGGCGGCUUUGCAAGACAGAUGUGAAAUCCCCGGGCUUAACCUGGGAACUGCAUUUGUGACUGCAUGGCUGGAGUGCGGCAGAGGGGGAUGGAAUUCCACGUGUAGCAGUGAAAUGCGUAGAGAUGUGGAGGAACACCGAUGGCGAAGGCAGCCUCCUGGGCCAGCACUGACGCUCAUGCACGAAAGCGUGGGGAGCAAACAGG